CCUACGGGUGGCAGCAGUGGGGAAUAUUGGGCAAUGGGCGCAAGCCUGACCCAGCAACGCCGCGUGAAGGAAGAAGGCUUUCGGGUUGUAAACUUCUUUUGUCAGGGACGAAGCAAGUGACGGUACCUGACGAAUAAGACACGGCUAACUACGUGCCAGCAGCCGCGGUAAUACGUAGGGGGCAAGUGUUAUCCGGAUUGAUUGGGUGUAAAGGGCGUGUAGGUGGGAAUGUAAGUCAGAUGGGAAAACUAUGGGCUCAACCCAUAGCCUGCAUUGGAAACUGUAUUUCUUGAGUGCUGGAGAGGCAAGCGGAAUUCCGGGUGUAGCGGUGAAAUGCGUAGAUAUACGGAGGAACACCAAUGGCGAAGACAGAUUACUGGACAGUAACUGACGCUGAGGCGCGAAAGCGUGGGGAGCAAACAGGAUUAGAUACCCCGGUAGUC
rnacentral:rRNA from 1 species